UGAGUAAUGUCUGGGAAACUGCCCGAUGGAGGGGGAUAACUACUGGAAACGGUAGCUAAUACCGCAUAACGUCUUCGGGCCAAAGUGGGGGACCUUCGGGCCUCACACCAUCGGAUGUGCCCAGAUGGGAUUAGCUAGUAGGUGGGGUAAUGGCUCACCUAGGCGACGAUCCCUAGCUGGUCUGAGAGGAUGACCAGCCACACUGGAACUGAGACACGGUCCAGACUCCUACGGGAGGCAGCAGUGGGGAAUAUUGCACAAUGGGCGCAAGCCUGAUGCAGCCCCCCCCCCCGGGUUAAAAAAAAACCUCCCGUUGUAAAGUACUUUCAGUGGGGGAGGAAGGCGUUAAGGUUAUAACCUUGGCGAUUUGACGUUACCCGCAAAAGAAGCACCGGCUAACUCCGUGCCAGCACCGCGGUAAUACGGAAGGGUGCAAGCGUUAUCGGAAUUACGGGGCUAAAGCGCACGCAGGCGGUCUGUCAAGUCGAAGUGAAACCCCGGG
rnacentral:rRNA from 1 species